UGGAUAAUCUUCCAUGCGAGUAUAUUAUCUACGUUCUGACGGUAAUAGAUAACAUAUCUCAUGCGCUCUUUGGUUGAAGCCUUCUGUCCUUCUCUAGUCGAGUAAGAUUCGUAUUUCCCUUUGUGGAGUCGAAUAUCCAUCCUAAAAAAAAAUAAAAAAAAAUCAAGUCUGCUUUUUCAGCUCUCUUCAGGAUGAUAAGUGUUUUGGAACACAAACCAAUUCACG
rnacentral:lncRNA from 1 species